rnacentral:rRNA from 1 species
CCCUUAGAUGUUCUGGGCUGCACACGUGCUACACUGGCAGGUUCAGCGAGCUUCAUGCCCUGAUCUGAAAGGAAUGGGAAAUCUUUUCAAAACCUGCCGUGCUUGGGAUAGAUGUUUGCAAUUAUUCAUCUUCAACAAGGAUUGCCUUGUAAGCGCACGUCAUCAGCGUGCAUUGAAUACGACCCUGUAUUCUGUACACACCGCCCGUCGCUCCUACCGAUUGAAGUUUUCGGUGAGUUGACAGGAGGAUUUUUUUGAAACUGGUUCGCCAGUGGAUUUUAGAUCCAAAUGCCAACGAAUCGAUGGCUUUAGAGGAAGGAGAAGUCGUAACA